GUUUUUAAGUUUUCAACAACAGAACUCUUCCCGUCCCUGUCUCCGACACUGCACGGAGACUCCCGGUCAUGUCUCCAGCUCUUUGAAAAGAUCGGGAAGAGAGCUGGACGGAGAGAGAGAGAGAGAGAGAGGGGUGACAGUGAAUGAGAGCAGCGGGAAGAAGGCUCUAGCACGAAAACAGGAGAGAAAAAGAGAACGUGGACAGCAGGGUAUUAAAAGAAGAAGCACUCAGCGACAACUAUUAGGCUAUAGUGGACGGGAAACAUCGGUACCUGAAUUUGGCUAACACCAGCCAGGGAGUGAGGGGCUGUGCAACAUGAUCGUGCCAUAUUUAAAUGAACGUCGUUGGAAGUCCCCCUUCCUUUGGAAUAAAGAGCAUCACCGUGUCACACGGUCAGAAUCGACAAGUCUUCUCCUAAUGUCAUCUUAAGAAAUAAUAAAAAAGGAAAAAAAUACUGUUUAUCAAAACUCCA
ensembl:lncRNA